CUGAGCUAGGCUCCCAUCCAAUAGUAUUUCCAGCCACCUUUGCCUGAGCCCGGGACUGAUGGAGAAUGAGACUGGCUUAGCCUAGGUUCCUCCACCUGGGCACUGCUGACAUUUAGAGUUGGAUGGUUCCUUGUGGUGGGGCCUUCCUGUGCAUUGCAGGGUAUUGAGCAGCAUCCCUGGCUUCCACACACUAGAUAGUAGCACUCUCCAUCAUUAUGACAAUCAGAAAUAUCUGUAGAUCUUGCCAAAUCUGUCCUGGGGAGCAGAACCGCCGCCCUACCCCACUGAGAACCACUGACUUGGAACAAUGGCCCUCUACUCUGGCUGCACAGAGGGAGCCCCUGGCCGCUUUAGAAAAUACUGAUGCUGCCUGGGUCUGCGCCCAGAAGUGUGAUAUCAUUGCUCUGGGUGAGGCCCAGACAACCUGGGGUUAAACUGCCCCAGGUGAUUCUAAUAUGCUGUUCCGUUGAGCCCCCCUGGGGAAGACUGUUUCUCAAACUUGAGGCAUCAUAAGAAUCACCUGGGUGGUGGCUCUAACCCGUCUUGAUUUAAUUAGAAUCACCUGGAAUUCUCAGACGUGGGCAAGUGUGGGAAAGGCCGCUGCGUUUCCAUAAGCCCCUUGCAGAGAGCGAGGCUCCAGGGUUCUGAGCUGAGAGGCCUGGCUAGCCUGUCUGGCUGGGACCUCAAGUACCUCCUGCUGAGUUUCCUCCCCCUCUGCCCUCCCUUCCAGCUCUCUGCAUCCCAGGGUUGGGCCUCUCCUCACCUCCCCCACCUUCUCCUCCCCGGUGACUUUAUCCCAGCCCCCGCCCUCCGCCAGCUCCUGUGAGCCCGCCAGCAGCCGGCCCCCUCCUCUUUUCCUCCCAGCCGGUGGCUCUCAGCGCGGGCUUGAUUUAGUAGGCGUUGGAGGAGAAAGGCAGCUUGAAGAGUCACUAAGAGCCUCGAUGCUAGCCAGCACUUAUCUGGAUAGGAGAGGCCGGCAGCCCCGGGAGGGAGCCGGGGUGUAAGGAGAGACACACCUCUCCACCAGAGGGAGAAGGGCCUUGGCAAACCUGCCGUCGUCACAGCCCUCUGCAGGGUUAUUGGUACCGUGAGCUACCAGCAACCUCCACCCCUAGCACGCAGCGUCCGGGCUGCCUCUCCCUGCCACACCCGGAUGAGGCAGAGAAGAGGGGGUGAGGGGAGGAGUAGGGGGUACCCCUACAGUCACCUCCUGCGGGUGGGGUACAGCUCCUUGCAGCACUAAGGCAGGAAACUCAGAGACCUCUGGGUAAGGACAGACGUCAGGUGGGCUCCUUGGGGGGGUGUCCUGUGGCUCCUGUAUGGCUAUUGGGGGCGCAGGGAAAGGGCCCCCACCUGGCUUCGCUACUCCCCCCACCCCAGCCUUUUGGUUGUUUGCCUAUCCCCCUCUCCUGGUACCCGUCUCCCUCCUUCUCCCUAAUGAAAAAUACAAAAGGAAAAUGCGCCAGUGCCCAGGUCUGGGGAGCCCCAGCCCGCAGGAUGGAGAAAUGAAAAGCGGCCCCAAUUAGAGGCUUUGGUUCUGCAAACUUGAUGCUCGGCACUUGAACUGUCAACGGUGGAGCCUUAAUUAGCAGCGGCGGGGGAGAGGACUCCCGGGACACCACUCCCUGCUUCCCCGGCUGUCCCGUGACCCCCUCGGCCCCUCUUGGCGCCUCCCUGUGUUCCCAGCCCCAGGCGGCAGCGGCAGGAGGAGCGCGUGGUGGCUUGGAAGCCCCGCUGCUCGGUGAUCCCCGCGCCCACGUUGCCGGCUAUGCCGGGAAGCCCCUUCUAGAGUCCCCCGGGUCCUCGUGGCCUGGCGGGGGCAGCACAGCAUGCUCGGCAUGAAGACCUGGUCGUCCCUGCUCCUGAACCUCAAUGAGAGCCCAGACCUAUGGCUUCUUGUCCCCUUCGCCUGGCCUGGCCCCAGCACCUAUCACCUGGACUGGUACAAUAGCCAACUUGCUCGUCCCCCUGCUUCUGCACUGCCCACCCCACUCCAUCCUCUGUGGCACCAGAAGACCGUAUGAGAAAGGAGGUCUCAUCAUGUCUCCCCUCUGCCCAAAACUCCCCAGGGCUCCUACUUCACUCCCAGUGCAGGCCACGUCCCCGGCACGAUGGCACACGAGCUGUUCCUUCCUCCAACCCACUGCCCCCGCCCACUCUCUCCUGGCUGUUUCUUGAAUACUUCAGACAUGCUCCCAGCUCAGGACUCUGCCUCAGAUGCUCUCCUGCCUGGUGCUCUCUCCCCCGGGUGCCAGCUUGACCAGGUCAUUUCUCUUAGAGGUCUUCACAGACUCACCUGUCAUGGGCUGCAUGGUGGCCCCCAAAAGAUGUGUCCACGACCUAACCCUUGGAACCUGUGAAUGUGACCUUAUUCGGGAAAAGGGGUUUUGCAGACAUAAAUAAGGAUCUUGAAAGAAGAUCCUUCUGAAUUACCCAGGUGGGCCCCUAAAUCCAAUGAUGAGUGUCCUGCUAAGAGAAGGAGAAGACAAACAGAGACCGCCCUGUGAAAACUGAGCAGAAAGCUGAGCCCACAAGCCAAGGAAGGCCAGCAGCCACCCGAAGCCGGAAGAGGCCCAGAAGGAUUCUUCCCUGGAGCCCCCGGUGGGAGCACAGCCCUUGGAAUCUGACUUCUGGCCUGAGGCACUGAGAGAAUAAAUGUUUUGUGCAGGCCCCUAGUUUGUGGCUCUGUUACAGCAGCACCAGGGUUGCUAAUAAUCCUCCAGCUUUAUCCGGCAGCGCACCGCCGGCCCCUCGCCUUACCACAAGCUGGUUCCCAUGGCACCUGUACAUUUAGACAAUGCCACAGUUUAGCAACACGUUACUUUUAUCAUUUCUUGCCUAGAACUCAAGCUCCUGACCCAGAGCUGCUCGAGACCCUCACCUGCGGCCAUGGCGGGGGGUGUGGUGGAAGGUGUCCAUUUGGUCCUGGCUGGGACCCCUUUUUCCGAUACACCGGGCGCACUGAGUCACCAGAGGGACGUGAGGUGGGCAAGGGCUCCAGAGCCCAAAACAGGCAGACAGCGUUCCCUUCGCCUCGGUUCCGGUCAGAAGGUUGCCAGUCAUCUCACCUGAGUCGUGAGAUAGAUGAUAGCUUCAAGGACCUCGUCCUUUGCCUUUGGGUCCUCAGCCUUUGCCGUAGGGUGAUUUCAGAGGCCUGGCAAGGCUCUGCUCCAAGGAAGAGUUCAGACAUUUCCUUGGCAGGUAAAUUCUCAGCAAUUUCUCUCUCCUUUUCAAGCCUGGCACGGCAGCCUGGCCACCCCCUGAACCAACAUCUUCCUGAGCCCGUAGGAGGACGCUGGGGGCUGCCAGCCCUGCCAUGUGGCCUGACCCUCCCUGUCCAGUGUGAAUGCUGCUGCGCAUCCCUCACCAUCUCAGACUCCAACUGCGUGCUCGUGCCGUGUUCCCGAAAGGAUGACCUUCCACCUUCCCUUUGGUUUGGCCUUUCCAGAAAGACUCAGAAAAAGAAACCACUCAACCAAAGUAGCCAAGGAAAAAUGAAAAAGUCCGCAGUUCUGCUCUUGGAAAGUGGUGUAUUAGUGUCCUGGGGCUGACGUAACAAUUCCCACACCGGGGGCGUGACCAACAGACAGUCAUCCUCUCGCAGCACUGGAGGCCGGGAGUCUGAAAUCAGGGUGUGCGGGGGGGCCAUACUCCCUCCGAAGGCGCUCGGGGAGGGUCCGUUCCAGACCUCUCUCCCAGCUUCUGGUGUUGCCAGCAGCCCUGGGCAUUCUUUGGC